AUUGAACGCUGGCGGCAGGCCUAACACAUGCAAGUCGAGCGAGCGGCGGACGGGUGAGUAAUGUAUGGGGACUGCCCGAUAGAGGGGGAUAACUACUGGAAACGGUAGCUAAUACCGCAUACUAUCGGAUAACCCAUAUGGGAUUAGCUAGUAGGUGAGGUAAUGGAUCACCUAGGCGACGAUCCCUAGCUGGUCUGAGAGGAUGAUCAGCAAGACUGGGAAGGAGACACGGCCCAGGCUCGUACGGAGGCAGCAGUGGAGAAAAUUGCACGAUGGGCGAAAGCCUGAGGCGGCCAUGCCGCGUGGAUGAAGGAGGCCCAAGGGUUGUAAAGUACUUUCAGUCGGGAGGCGUUACCGACAGAAGAAGCACCGGCUAGAUCCGUGCCAGCAGCCGCGGUAAUUC
rnacentral:rRNA from 1 species